GCGGGUGUGGUGGAACAGGCAGACACAGGGCACUUAAAAUGCUCCGCCGUCAGGCGUGUGGGUUCGACUCCCGCCACCCGCA
rnacentral:tRNA from 1 species